rnacentral:rRNA from 1 species
UGAGGAAUAUUGGUCAAUGGGCGAGAGCCUGAACCAGCCAAGUAGCGUGAAGGACGACGGCCCUACGGGUUGUAAACUUCUUUUGUUUGGGAAUAAAGUGUGCCACGUGUGGCAUUUUGUAUGUACCAUUCGAAUAAGCAUCGGCUAAUUCCGUGCCAGCAGCCGCGGUAAUACGGAAGAUGCGAGCGUUAUCCGGAUUUAUUGGGUUUAAAGGGAGCGUAGGCGGGCUGUUAAGUCAGCGGUCAAAUGUCAGGGCCCAACCUUGGCAUGCCGUUGAAACUGGCGGUCUUGAGUUCACACAAGGAAGGUGGAAUUCGUUGUGUAGCGGUGAAAUGCUUAGAUAUGACGAAGAACUCCGAUUGCGAAGGCAGCCUUCUGGGGUGUUACUGACGCUGAGGCUCGAAAGCGCGGGUAUCAAACAGG